ACNUGCNNGUCGAGCGAAUGGAUUGAGAGCUUGCUCUCAAGAAGUUAGCGGCGGACGGGUGAGUAACACGUGGGUAACCUGCCCAUAAGACUGGGAUAACUCCGGGAAACCGGGGCUAAUACCGGAUAACAUUUUGAACUGCAUAGUUCGAAAUUGAAAGGCGGCUUCGGCUGUCACUUAUGGAUGGACCCGCGUCGCAUUAGCUAGUUGGUGAGGUAACGGCCCACCAAGGCAACGAUGCGUAGCCGACCUGAGAGGGUGAUCGGCCACACUGGGACUGAGACACGGCCCAGACUCCUACGGGAGGCAGCAGUAGGGAAUCUUCCGCAAUGGACGAAAGUCUGACGGAGCAACGCCGCGUGAGUGAUGAAGGCUUUCGGGUCGUAAAACUCUGUUGUUAGGGAAGAACAAGUGCUAGUUGAAUAAGCUGGCACCUUGACGGUACCUAACCAGAAAGCCACGGCUAACUACGUGCCAGCAGCCGCGGUAAUACGUAGGUGGCAAGCGUUAUCCGGAAUUAUUGGGCGUAAAGCGCGCGCAGGUGGUUUCUUAAGUCUGAUGUGAAAGCCCACGGCUCAACCGUGGAGGGUCAUUGGAAACUGGGAGACUUGAGUGCAGAAGANGAAAGUGGAAUUCCAUGUGUAGCGGUGAAAUGCGUAGAGAUAUGGAGGAACACCAGUGGCGAANGCGACUUUCUGGUCUGUAACUGACACUGANGCGCGAAAGCGUGGGGAGCAAACAGGANUAGAUACCCUGGUAGUCCACGCCGUAAACGAUGAGUGCUAAGUGUUAGAGGGUUUCCGCCCUUUA
rnacentral:rRNA from 1 species